UAAAAUCCACCCGUGCCUCCCUUUCUAUCCUGUUUUCUUCGAGCUCCUUUCCCCCCGGCCCCGACGCACCAGAGCGGCCCCCGGGUGCAACUCCUCGCCUCCACGUAGGACAUCCGCCGGCCCGCACGGAAGAGCCCAGGGAGCGCAGGCAGAGGAGGGUGGGGAAGGGGCUAGGGGUGCAGAGGAGGGCGGCGAGGGCUCAUUUACCGUGUGCCUGGCUGUAGGAGACCCUGGCCCGGGCAUGGGCGGAAUUGGCGUAGUAGGGGUUGCCCUGGGAGUCCAGGUGGUUGAAGAAGACGUCGACUUCGUCCGGAGGAAGAGGGAGACGGUGCCGCCAGCCGCGUCCUGGGAUCGCCCCGGCACGGAACGACUCCAAAACGAGGGAGCAUCGCCCCGGCGGAAAAACUACGGGAAAAACGGGGUUCGAAGCCUGCAGAUUUCCCCCUAAGCGGGGACAGAGGGGGUGUCCGAGCAGAGGGCUCAGGGGGGUGAGAGACCCGCGGAGGAGCCGGGCUGCGCAGCCCAGGCUCUUGGCGCUGCUGUCCCGGGUUGUCCCGGGGCCACCCCCGAGUGGCAGCGGCGACACUGGGGGCAAGGAGGAGGGGUGCUGCUUCCCCUUCAUGCCCGCUGGAAGAGAAGGCUGUUUUCCUCUGCCGUUUAGCUUCUGUACUAAAGAUGUCAUCUGAAAGUCUGGGAGGAAGGGGGGACCGCGCUCAGCUCUCUUCCACGGUAACAACCAUAUUCUGCAGAGGAAAAAUAUGAUAGACAGCAAGGAAAGCGCUUUUUUUUUUCCUAAAAAAAAAAAAAAAAAAGGAAAAAGGAAAGAAAAAAAAAAAAAGAACCAACCUUUUCAAUAUUUAUUCAAAAAAAAAAAAAAAAAGAGAGGGAGAGAAUUUAAAAAAGAGAAGAAGCAGCACCAGCAGCAGGGAGAAUAUAGGCUCAGCAACUCUCCAGGUUCGCUUCCUUAUUAUUACUAUCCAGGGGUAAUUUUUCAUCUCUGCUAGCUAAUCUUUGUUCCUUGUGAAGAUAAUGAAUAGCCCAAUCCUUAUCUCCUGGGCUCCUGGAGGCUGCUGGAGAAUGGGGUUGAACAGGGUUGAAAAUUGGUUCCAAAGUGCUGCUGAAUAAAUGGUGUUCCUUAUCUCUCGCUUCCAGAUUAUCGGAACCCUUUCAAAACUCACACAACAAAUACAGCCACCACAUCUAAUGCAUCAUUUACCAGAGCAGAUCUCCGCGUUUGAUCGGCAGAUAGGCAAAAUCUAUGUGUUCCUUGCCUUGCUUAGUAUGCACGGACGCCGGGCUGCGGUGCGUGCGGGGUGCCCCCGCCGGGCCUGGGACACCCCCGGGGCUCUCAGCACACGCAGCCCUGAGCUGGGGCGAGGAGAGCGUCCCCAGCCCGUCCCCGAGCCGGGGGAGCGGGGUGGGAUGGCAAAACCUCCUUGCAAGGUGCCCAUCUUCGAUAUUUGGCUGUGCUGCGCUGGGGAGCCCCGGGGAGGGGAGCGGAGGACCCCAAAAUGGGGAGCCCCCCUCCAGCCGCGGGCAUCCUGAGCCUGGGGAGCGAGCGGUGAGCACGGGGGAGGAAAGAAAACCCCACAAAAAGGGAGUCUUUCUCCCUCCUGGAGUCACAGCGAAGUCUGCUCAGGGCAGCAUCAGCCUUUUUUCUUUCUGGCUUUGUUUUUCUUUUUUUUUCUUCCCUUUCUGUUUUCCUUUUAUUCUUCUUUUUCCUUCCUUUUUUUUUUUUUUUUCUUUUUCUUUUUUUUUUUUUCUCCUCAUUUUUUUCCAGGUUUUCUUGUUUCUCCUCUUCCUUUUUAUUUUUUAAUUUUAUUUUUAUUUUUGAAAAUGCCAACAGAACAACCACCACCUCGCAACCCGCCCGCCUCCAGGGCAGGUGAUUCUGAGCCGGGGAUAGACAUCCCCGCAGCUCCCUCUUUCCCUGGCAUCCUCUGACCGGUGCCCGGUCACGGCACAAGGCAGCAUUUUAUUCUGCACACCUCUGUCCCCAGCACUGCCCCGUUAGGAACUGGAUGUCCCCAGUGCCCCAGUCCCUUCUGCCCAUCUGGCAAGGGCAGAGGGGUGCCUGGCUUCUGCGGUGGGCGAGGAGGGCUCGUCUGACCCCUUCCUUCUCCUGGAAAAGGAGAGAAACUUUUGUGGGACGUUCUGGGCGAGCAGCAGCCCCAUCCAGCCCCUGCCCGUGCUCAAGAGUUUUGCAAAUGUUCAACUUGUACUAAUUUUUUUAUGGCUGUAUUCACAGUUGUUCCCCAUAAAAAAUGGACCUGUGUUAGUUUAUUAAUAACCUAAACAUUACGUAUUAAAGACCUAUGAGUGACACAAGAUGACAAAAAGCUGUAUUUUUCCAAUAUACACAAGCACACAUUUAAUAACCUUCUAUUGCAUCUCAGCUAGGCCUUCUCUCUGAUGGUUCCCAUGGCAACUGAGAUAAAAAAGCAGCCAUUUUCCAUAUCUCUAUGAAAGUCUAUUAUAUUGCAGGAUUAGUUCAUCUUCUGCUAAGGUCAAACACAAAGUCAUACAACCUGAAAUAUUUAGAAUCCAUGUACAUUCAUUUUUUUAUAUGCCCUUUCAUUUUCCACAAAAGGCUGGGCUCCUCUGAGGUUUUAUUCCCCAGAAAAUGCUAAGCAAAGCAAUAAAAAAAUCAUGAUUAGCAGCUGA